UGUGUGGCAAAAGGACGGACGUGUUUUGUGCAAUAGACUUAAGCAGUCAUCAGUCUAUUUUUAAGAGCCCACAUAGCCAAUCACUUUGUUGUUUGGAUGUUAUUGCUCUUAGAUUUCUCCACAUCACAGUACCUCAACAGCCCAGUUGACGGGGCACCAUUAGCAGGACCAAAAUCUGACAGACUGGGUUGUUGGAAGGGUAACAUCAGAUGACAGUGCUAUACUGAAGUCAUGAACCCCUUUACCAUAAUCUAAAGUCGUAUCCAAUUACCCUGAUUGCGUUAUGCUUCACCUCUACCGAUACAACCCUCCACUGCUGACUGAGGAGCUUCGCAACUGACACAUCCCCCCUCUGACAUGUGUGCAGUACCGACUGCAUCUUUUCACCUGCAUGAGGGGAGUUCAUAUGCGGAUCAGCCUUGUGCACGAGAUCAGUUGAGAUCAUUUCUCAGCUCUAGGCGCCAUCAGUUAACCAGCAGAGGUCGUAAUUGCACCAGUUAUGAGGAACCCUGGUCAAGCUUUUCCCACCAAUCGUUGUUCAUGUAGCCGCCCAGCCCAGCUGAAUGGCAGAGCUGAGAUUCGAUACAAUGUAUUUGAAAUCCCUGCUCUGGUGUGCUAGCGUAUUUUACUUUGUUUAUGUUGUGCUCCCUGUUGACUAGGUUUGAACACUUGUGAAAUUGUGUAGUAGAUUUAGUAAAUAAAAUUCAAUAAAAAUGUUUUUCUUACAGUUAAAA